ACCCUACCCCACAUUUCUCCUCCUACCCAACGAAACCCAGAUCGAACGUCGCCGCCGCCGCUCUCCCCUCGCCGGCCACCUCACCUCCGCUCUCUCCUCUUCCGUCCGACCUUGAUCCACCCGCUCCCUCUGGCAACUGCACCAGAACGAGCGCCGCCGCACGAGACUCGCGGAGGUGAGAGGCGCGUCUCCAACGAGGACCAGACCGUGGCCCUCGCCGCACCUUGCCGCGGGAAGUCGCCGUGCAGAGCAGCAAGAGGUAGCAGACUCGACGAGCGCACAUCCGGGCCCUUCUGGCCUUCUCCACCUCCGACUCCCUCGACAUCCGUUGCUGUUACCUUGCGGGGGCUGCAGUUUUCAGUAAAAGGGAAGGGGAGAUGCAGAAGAAAGGGGGCUCCUUUUCUGCCCUUAUUUGAUCGGCGUGCAGCUGGGUGGUUCUGGCGGCGCUAGCAUGGUCGCCAUGGCAUGCUUGUUCUCCAGCUGUUGCACAUCUACUUCCAGCUGCAACAAGGUGGUGCUGCAGUUUCGGUUGCGCCACGGCACGAGGAGCCGCGGGCUGCUACACCUCUACUAGGAGCAGGAGGGUUGCUCGAUUGGGUGCUGCUGCUUCACUAGUGUGGCGCAUCUGACCAUCGCUGCCAGCUUCUGAUGUCGCCGACAUCCUGCUAUUAGGGACAGAUCAGCCACGAUCAUUUCGCGGAUGCCUUAACCUCUACGUCAAGCGUGCCGGCUCGGCGGCUUGUCUCCGUCCUGGCUAUCUCCUCCGGCUUGCUCGUCGGGAACAAGGCUGUGCCUGGGUGAGAUACGUCUCUAUCAUCUUUCUCUGUCCCAGAUUGUUGUUGUUGCCCUGGUUUAUCUGUCGUAAGAUUGGAUCCUAGUAGCUGCAGUUUGUGCGGUUGCUAUAUUUUGGUUCACAUUGGUCUGGAUAGGAGUUGGCACAGUUUUUUUUAAUCCAUGUUUCCUCUGUUUGUGUUCACCUGACCAUUUUCAUUUCUGCUAUCAUCUACCUGACUGUCAAUUUCAGGCUUCCCCUAGUCAUGUUUGUCAUGUCUUGUUUUUGUAGCUUGUUGUCUGAUACAAUAUGCCACGUGAAUGCAUGCCACUACAUGAAACACCAUCUAACUGCUCAUCGUGGUUAUAGGUUUCAGUACUACACUCAUGCUAUUGUGGUGAGAGCUGUGUCCCUGUAAGAAUAUUGGAAAGUUUAUCCAAUCCAACUUAUAAAUGGCUAUAAAUUGUUUUCAAUUCUGAGAAAAGCCAGCUUGUUGUGUAGAAGCUGCCAUUCUGCGUAGAAACUAUUUUAGAGAGAUAAAAUCUAUUGUACCCGUGAAAGAAAGAGCACUUAUCCUGUGCUGCACAAAUUUAUUCACAAGUUUUCAACUUAACACCUUUUUUUAAUAGCAAUGGCAGAUCAUGUGCAUUGUUCCAGCUAGUUAGUUUUGUCCUGAAUAUGCCAUCGUAGCUAUUGGUUAUAUUAAAUCAGUACAGAAAGGUAGUGACCAAUGAAGC